GCUGUUGCUGCUCGUGUGCUCUCGCGCGGCUUCGCCACGUGGUUUUUGCUGUCCUUCAGGCCGCCCGGAGUCCCUGGGAACGAAGGGCGAGCGCCACGCGCGCCUUGGAACCUGGAAAGUAGAGAUUUCAAGAUUUUCCAUGGAAGUGCCUAGAAAACGACUCAAAAGCCUCUGGGGACUGUGAGAGGACGGCCAGGUCUCUGAGCCCACCACCAUUGCUUCAGUGUGCUCCAGUGGGACCAUGGAUCAUGAUGAUGAGUCCCUUACCUCCCCAUUCACAUUCAGAUGCUCCAUGGGCACAGAAUUCCAGUUGACCCACAUGUGGGGGAGUUUGAUGAGGCUCAUCGUGUGAACAAGGUGUCCUGCAUUCUCAUUUUGCACUGAGCCGCACAAAUCAUGUAGCUGGCCCUGCUGAGAGAGAAGACAAAGGAAAAAUCAGAACUCCACUAUGUCAUGUGAGGACACAGCAAGAAGGCAGCCAUCUGCAAGCCAGGAAGAGGGCUCUUACCAGAACCCAAACAUGCUAGCACCCUAGUCUCAGACUUCCCAGCCUCCAGAACAGUGAGAAAUAAAUGUCUGUUGUUUAAGCUGCCCAGUUUACGGUAUUUUGUUAUAGCAACCUGAGCUGACUAAGACAUGAACAAAUGUAGUGCCUGCCUUUGUGGUAGAAAUAAACAUUAAUGAAAUAAA